rnacentral:lncRNA from 1 species
AUUUCCUUCUUUAUAAAUAAUCAAAAGGACAAUUUUAAAAGUAAUUGUCAACUUUUAAUAGACAUUUUGUGGGUUAUUUUUAUUUUGUAAGUAAUCAGGAGUAAAAUUGGUUUUACGAUGUCUAUAAAUCCAAACAGUGUGAAGUAUUAAUCAUCUGGUGAGACAUCUAAUGAUUUUGUCUUAUUUAUUUCAGGGAGUUUUUACUUGUGCUUUUAUCAAUAACAUGGGGAAAAUAGUGGCAGGAUAAUGCCUCAGUAUACUUGGUAUUCAGACACACAGUGAAUCAUUCAGUCUUACCAUGGAUACAUAAGUAUCUUGUCUUUAAAAGUAUUGGCUUUAUUCCCACAGGUCAAUGUAGACCAAGGUGAGCUAAUAAGGAAAAGUUUAAUUCCUUCUUUUUGAGAAGUAACAUGAAAGAGAGUUCUGACAGUAAUUCUGCUAAUUCAUCUUCAAAAGAAUCUAUUACCACAGAUUGAUGUGAGCACUCAAUCAUGGUCAAUGUAAACCAAGAUCUGCAAUUCAUCUGGAUAAAUUUAUUUCUUCAUUUGUGUUGUCAUGUGAAGGAAAGUAUUAGGAAUCAUUCAGUCUCUCAUCCUCAAGAGCCAGUGGUAUUUCUCACAAAGUAAGCAUUUUGCCUGAACAUACUUAUAUUCCUUGUAGAAACCACAAAGCU